AUUGAACGCUGGCGGCAGGCCUAACACAUGCAAGUCGAGCGGAUGAAGGGAGCUUGCUCCUGGAUUCAGCGGCGGACGGGUGAGUAAUGCCUAGGAAUCUGCCUGGUAGUGGGGGAUAACGUCCGGAAACGGGCGCUAAUACCGCAUACGUCCUGAGGGAGAAAGUGGGGGAUCUUCGGACCUCCCGCUAUCGGUUGGGCCUAGGUCGGAUUAGCUAGUUGGUGGGGUAAAGGCCUACCAAGGCGACGAUCCGUAACUGGUCUGAGAGGAUGAUCAGUCACACUGGAACUGAGACACGGUCCAGACUCCUACGGGAGGCAGCAGUGGGGAAUAUUGGACAAUGGGCGAAAGCCUGAUCCAGCCAUGCCGCGUGUGUGAAGAAGGUCUUCGGAUUGUAAAGCACUUUAAGUUGGGAGGAAGGGCAGUAAGUUAAUACCUUGCUGUUUUGACGUUACCAACAGAAUAAGCACCGGCUAACUUCGUG
rnacentral:rRNA from 1 species